UGGUCUGAAACCAACAGCACAAUAUAUGAUCACACAACACUAUAGCAAGGGGCACAUGCCAGGAAGCCUGAAUAUAACAAUUUUAACUGCAUUGUUAUUAUUGAGGCUUUUUUUUUUUAAUAGUGGUAUGUUUGUUGUUGUUGUUGUUGUUUUCUUUCCCUUUAUUUUAAGUCAAAUCUGGUUAAUAAAAAUCUGGCUUGGCAUAAAAAAAAAUGUAUUUUCUUUUUCCUAUACCAGGCCUUUGAAUGCAACAAAAGAACAAAUGAACUCCAUACCUCUGAGAGCCCUUCAAAACUGAAUGGAUCCUGUCACAAACAAGCUGUCAUGCCUGAGGGAAGAAUAGGUGGUGACCUAGCUGCCAUGAGGUCUACAGGGUUUCUGUUCCCCCUCACCACCUGCCUUCUUCAGCACCAGUGUCCUCCAGGACAGGAAACACGUGUCUGGCCAGACCCAGUUCCUGGGUCAAGCCACUGUAUUCUGGUGCUGGAGAGGAAGAGAUUUCCAAUGAAACAGUUAAAGGUAUCAAAAUGCCAACAGAUGUCAAAAGGAAUGGGCCCUGAAGUACCACAGAGUAGAACAACAGCUGGUGGAAAGGAAAAUUCCUCAGAAAUCAGAAUUGCUCAGCUUGUACAACGAAAGGAGGAUUGACAGGUAUACAACUGAAAUUCAUCCCACUUGGAAUGCGAUGAGAAGAAUUGCUUUCUAAGACAUACAGUUGAGUUUUAAUACUGAGUUAUAUGAACCCCUCUCCAGUGCUUUGACUGGGGUCACAAAGUGAAAAGGACACCACUGGGAACUAUGUGCAGGCCCCAGAGAAGUCACCUAUUUCUUAAGGGCUACAGGAGACCGUUCCUAGAUAAGAUGGUUUGUACUGCUCUGCUGCUAUAACUAACAUCCCAGAAAAUGGUUUGGGCCCAAACCAACUUCUUGUCUCCUGCACAGUCCUUAGCAGCAGCUCAGAAUAUAUAAAAUAUGGGACCUAUUCUUAAGAAGCAUUUUGAUUAUGGCUGCCUUUGUAUGACAGCAAUAGAGUUUAAUGUAUGAAUAUGUGCAACUGCAUGCUAGUUGGCCUCCAGGGUUUGCAAGCUUCCCAGAAAAAUUAAAUUGACUAGCACUGCUGCAGUCUUAGUUUUGCUUAUCCAAAUGUUUCUAUUUAUUCAUUUGCUUCUGCUUUAAGUCUAGAAAAUGUCUUUAUCAUUUUAGAGUACUUAUAAAUUAGCAAUUAGGACAGAUGAUAUCUCACAUUUCUUUUUUUUUUAAUGAAAAUUUUUCUUUAAAAAAAACAGAACAAUGUAGUUGAUAAGUGUGUAUGCUAAUAAAUUUUAAAUAAAAUCAAGUAUUUGUUGACCA
rnacentral:lncRNA from 1 species